UUUCAAGCCCCUAUUUUAAUUCUAAUUUCCUUUCAAGCUCUUUACAAUUAACUUUUAACAAAUGUUUCAUAUACAAAAAGAUAGCUCUACAAAAUGCUUUAACAAUAAUUAAACUUUAACAAUAUAUACCAGUUAGCUUUCACAUCAAAAUUCUUGCAACUCUUUAAUAUCUACUAAUGAAUCUACUAGCAACCAACAAGAUUGGCACAAUGGGAGAACCUUUUCUGCCGUAAUCAUAGAUUUGGCAAGUCUUCAACCACCAUGUGAUCUAAACCAUAGAUUUGGCAAAACUAGGGAACUGAAGCUCUAGAUUGGUCUGAACCUUUUCUGCACUUGGGUUCAAUGGGAGAACAUUUCCCAUCAAUCACAUCCUUAUUUUUCUUAGAGCUGCAAAUUAAGCACAAAAGCAUUCAUUUAGUCAUAAAUCAAAUAUAAUUUUCUUAUUAACUCUCAAAACUCACCGUUUGGAGACUAAAUAUAAUUUUGUAGUUGUGACUUUUAAUGACGGUUUUAUUUAAAAACCGUCAUUAAAAGUAAUAGAUGUUUUAAUGACGGUUGUUAAAUAAAAUCGUCAUUAAAAGUAAUAGUUGAAUAUUUAAUGACAGUUAUAUAAUAAAACCAUCAUGAUAAAUUUUGAAUUUUUAAUGACCGUUUUUAUAAAUAACGGUCAUUAAAAAUAAGAUUGACAUUUAAUGACGGUUAUAUAAUAGAACCGUCAUUAAAAGUUUAAAAUUUACAAUGACUGUUUUUAUAAAUAACCGUCAUUAAAAGUAAUACUAUACAUUUAAUGACGGUUAUAUAACAAAACCUUCAUUGUAAAUUUCUAACUUUUAAUGACCGUUUUUAUAAAUAACCGUCAUUAAAAAUAAAAAUAUAUUUUAACAUAAUAUUUAAUGACGGCUCUAUAAUAGAACCGUCAUUAUAAAUUUCUAACUUUUAAUGACCAUUUUUAUAAAUAACCGUCAUUAAAAAUAAAAAUAUAUUUUAACAUAAUAUUUAAUGACGGUUCUAUAAUAGAACCGUCAUUAUAAAUGUUAGCUAUUAUGACGGUUUUUCUAAGAACCGUCAUCAAAUAUUUUUAAUGACGGUUAUUAAAAAUAACAGUCAUAACAUAUGGGUCAUUAUUUGGCAUUUUUGUAGUAGUGCGACUUUCAAAUCACAAUAUUCAUGAACCCCUUGCCCCUCUCCAACUCAAAAGACCAGAUUUGUAGGCAGACUUGAAGCAUUGACUUCUUUCAAAGAUUCAGUGAGUAAUCUAAACAGUACACAGUAAAGUCUUUAUAAUUUAAUAUUCAGUAAAUUAAUAAUUUUUCUUAUAUAAUAGUUUUUAGCGAUCUCACUUAGACCAAAAGACUAAAUUAAUAACAUUUUACUUGCUUUAACUAGCUAGAUUUCGAGAUGAAGGAAAUAGGGACAAAAACCUAGCUAAACACAAUAAAUAUGUAUUAAGGUGAGGGGCUGCCUAAGUUGUGGUAUGGGUUUAAAGGUGCAUCCCACAGUUGGGGCCCUCCUCAGGAUAACUCGUGGUUAAAACCAAAAAAAAAAAGGUGAGGGGCUGCCUCAUGUAAUCGAGGUGUAUUGAUUAUUUUUUACUUUUCAUGGGACUUGAGAAAGAAAUGGAAGAGGUGAAAUCGUGGUGAGAGGCUUAGAUCUGGAUUGAGGUGAUUUUGAUACCUUGCUUAACUUGCAAAAUGGAGAAAAGAGGUUAGAGGUGGAGCUAGUAGUGGCUAGCAACCACACUCCGACACUGAAAUUAGUUUUUGGGUUAUUUUUUAAGUUGAAAACUUACAAACUCUCAACAAUGGUGGCUAGAGGAUGAAGAAGGGCCUCUACCUUGUAUUGUGUAUGCUUCGAAUGAGUAAGAAAAAUAAAACAUGAGUGUCUUUACAUAGCAUGCCCAGGGGUUUUGGCCACCAUGCUACCAGGCUCACUUGUAUUGGUCCUUUUGUCUCUCUGAAAAGACACUCCUAUCCUUUGGCAUUUGUGGGCAUUCAUGCCCUUUUGGAGCACGCUUGGAGAGAAAGUUAUUUUAUUAUUUUAUAAAUUUUCCAUACAUAAAGGUAUUCGACUCUGCCGAGUGGUCCAGCAUGCCUCUACAGGGGCUGUCCCUGUAAUCGCUAGCGUGCAAGUGAGGGCAAAUAGUCCCAACUGUUUUAAUGACCUGUUUUUGGCUUUUUGUAGGUGUAGGAGCUUGCUGCUUCCUCUUUUCCAACUAGGUAUUUCUCUUUUGAUUCCUCAUUCUCAAUCAAGGAAUCAAUCGCUUUUUCUAGCAGCAGUGGCACCAUACGUGCCUGAUAUUUUUGGAUAUUUUCUUCAGCCCUCUAUGCUGGAACCAUGACGAAAUCUGCAUUCUCCUUUAAUCCUUUGUGUAGUGGGUAUAAGCCAACCUCCUCUAUGAGACUUUCCCAUUAUUAAGCACCAUUGACACGUGGCAAUUUCUUACUGGCCUCUCAUUUCUUCCUCAACAAUACUUUUUUGAAAACUCUUAUACAAUUCUAUCUUACUAUUUAUAUAAUAUAUUACGAAUUUGCUAAAAAUACAAAUUUAGUUGUGAUAUUUUAUUAGAUAAGAUAUUAAGAACUUGGGCAAAACUAUGGUGCAACUGUGGUACCAUACCAUAGCUGCAUCCAACAAUUGGAUCCAACCCAUAGUUGUCACUAUAAUUGGAUCUAAUGGCCGGGUGCAGCUGUGGUAUGGUACCACAGUUGCACCAUAGCUGGACCCUAAGAACUUAUGGUCCUAGGACAACAAUUGAAACUGUAGAUACAUAUAAAUCGUCAAAGAAACACAGAAUAUAUACUAGUUGAUAUUUUAUUUCAACUUUUCUACUAGUUACAUUUUUACACUCAAAUACAGGUUAACUUUUAUCCAUUGAAGUAUACACAGCCAAACAAGCAGUAAACACAAUCCAACAGGGUUCAUAAAUUCACAACUUAAUUAAUUCACUUAUUUUAUUAGAGUGGACACCACAUAAUCUUCUCAUGUAAUUGGAAGCAAUCAACGACUUUUAACUAUGCUGGUUUUGAAUUCUUGACAAAUCAACAAAUGACUACCAUAUUCCUAACUCUGUUACUUAGAUGUUGUGAAUAGGAUGGAAUACAAAUGAUUUUUUCCUUUUUUUUCCCGAUCUUCAGUUUUUAUUGAUUCUUAUUCACAUUCAUGAAAAGCAACUAAACAUGGAAAAAUGUGCUUCAAAGGAAACCAAGUUGAUUAUUUGAGUAUUUGGUUACAAGGUUAUCUCGCAGCAGAUACAACACCUCUCUUCUGAUGUAUUAGAAAUUAACAAACUCAUGCGAAAACUCCAUUGAUCUAAGAUCAUAAAUCAUAUUUCAUGUAAAUCAACAAAAUUACAGAUUUUCAGGAUAUACAGUAUCAAUUGCUUUAACAAUAACCAAUAGAGACACUAAUGAUAUUUAAGCCCUUCAAUCAAACUUAUAUAAAUAGAGAUUUAUCCACAGCAAGGCAAAAACAGAACCAUUAAGUCCAUGCAUAAAGACAUUCCAAGUAAAUUCCCAUUUUCCGUGUUAAAUUCUACUAGAUUAAUCAUUUGGACUCGUAUCCAUGUUACAGAAUAAGGUUUGACAAAGUCAUGAUACCAAAUCAUUUGUUCUUCCACACAAAACAAUGCAAAUGUAACACCCAAUAAAUAAAAAAUGCCGAAACUACGAACUCCCAAAGAAAGAGAACAUUACACGUUGAACUAAAGAUAAGCAAUUAUGUUGCUUUAUUCCACAUACCUCUCAAACCCAGGUCUUAAAUCCGGAAGAUUCAUUUCUUCUUCAUACAAAUUCAAUAACUGAGGAACUUUCACCUGAAAUUUAGUUACAUAGCUCCCCUUAAAUUGUGUCUCCCCAAGUACUAAGAGAGAGCAUGGACAUAAAUCCUUCUUGAUCAAUCCCUUGGAUAGCAGAACUUGAACAACAGAACACCUAGGAACAAUCCUUUUCUCUAGGCUAUAUAGGAGAAUUUCUGGUCUUUUUGCAAUAUCUUGUGAUAACCAACCCAUUUUGUUAACAAAGAAGUCCAUAGUUUUUGUAAUCUUCUCCUCAGAUAUUCGCAUACAGUAAGGAUGCCUUCUAAAUGCAUUAAGAGUCUCAUCUUUGGACCAACCCCACCUCCGAUAAACCUCAAUCUUGGAUUCCCAGUUCAAUGUUGUCAUUUGACCAAUCACUUCGAUAGCUUUAAGAAACAUUCCCCGCAAGGGGUUAAAUCCCAUUGCCUUAACCUUAUUGACAAUCUCGUAGAACUUAGAAGGUAUAAUGGAUGCUCCACAUGGAUUACUAAUUACAAAAUUGGAAAUGUUAGAUGCAGGUACACCAAUCUCUCUCAAAAAUGCAAUAUUUGGUGCUAAAUUACUAUUAAAAUCGCGUAGGAAUGCCCAUUUCAUGCGCUUCAUCACUCUAACAACAACUUCAUCGAGAACAACUAUAUUCUUGAGGAAAUUGUAAUUCGGACUAAGACGAUUCUUCAAACUCACAGCUAACAGAUGUGGGGUGGAUGAUAUCAGCUUUGGAAGGUCGUCACUCAAAACUCCAAUAGAACCGAAAAACUCAAUCUUGGGCAAAAGAUUCCUUUCACAAUUAAGUGCAAUGAUUUGGGGGCAUACUCUCACAACUUUAGAGAUUUGCAAAUUAGUGAAACCAUGGUUCCUGAGAAGCCUAAGCACCGAGUCUGCUCCUUCUGUGUUCUUGAUACUGACUUUCUUAGAAGCAGCUAAAGCAGAUUUUGCUGACAACCCACAUGAGUUCAUGAAAUAGGAGACCAUAGAGGACAGUUUUUGUCCAUUUUCUUUAGUAACUGAUCUAUUCUCUAAAGGCAAAGAUGAAGAAAUCAACCUAACAAUAAAAACUAAGUUUUGAACAAAACCCAGAUGGGUCUUUGAGUUUGUGAGACCAAAAUCUUUAUGAGAAACUAUUGUUCUUUGCAUUCUCCUAGGAAAAAGAAACAAUUAUGAAUGAUUAAAGCUCAUUGCAGAAACAAAAGAAGCAAACCUUGUGCAAUAAUAACACGAUGAAGCUGUGAAUAGAGCCAUCAUCCCUCAAAAUAGUGAGCCACCAUAUUCGUGAUGUUCUUCUAUCUUUUUGCCAGCCAACCCCAGUUCUCCUUCACUGCGAUGCAGGCGCUCUGUUUGAUUGCACUUUUAUUGUUUUUCAUUUUUUACUUUUUAACUUCUGAAAGUUAAAGUACAAACGACAUGUCAUCCAUUAACAUUUUCCGAUAUGCCGUUGAACUUGAACAGAAUAAAAAAUCAUUGCGCCACCACUAUUUAUUCACAUAACACUAAAACGUCCACAUAUUUUUCAAACUCAUCUAUCGUCCCCCAGUUUCGUUGACCAUAGUAAACUGUAAUUAAAGAUUCUUUCAAAAAAUUAAAAAAAAAAAAGCAUUUAUCAGUAAGUCAAUUUAUUUUAACAGUGGAUUUAAUUUGAUGACCUAGAGAGAAGAGACAAUUUAACAUUUAUUUAUAAAAGAAUCAUAAAACAAAGUAUUUUCAAAGAAUUUUUUAUGGGUUAAGUUCGAUUGUAGUUCAACCUAACAACCAAGCAAGUUUAUCCUCGAGUUAAAACUAAUAAUUUCGUAUAUCGAACUAAUAGCAAAGUCAAUAGUUAAAUUAAAACCAGCCUAUACACACACACAACUGAUUAGUUAUUUCAAAUUUUGAAACUUAAAACUUGAUGAGGUGAAAAUUAUUAAUUAAAAUUGUUUACGGUUUGUCUUUGUUUUUUAUAUAAGAAAAUUUGAUUAAAAAAAAAAAGAUUAGCAAACUAUUUUAUAUUUUUUAAUUUAUAGAGAUGGUUAGUAAACUUAAGAGAUAUAGAGGAAAAAUAAAUAAUAAAUUAUUUAUAAAUUAAAUGAGAUUAUUUAUUUUAAUCGGAGGCUCAAAUAAUAUUUUUAAAUAUCAAUGGUUCUAAUAGUGUUCACAUUAGUAAAAUGUAAAAAUGACUUUAAAUAUCGGUACAUAUUAAAUUUAGAGUCAUAUUUGUAAUUUUUGUAAAUUACGGGGAUAACUUGAUAAUUAUCUUCUCUAGGGAACUCUGGGUGAAUGCUUGGCUUUACAAGAUCACUCAUUCCUGAGCCUGAAAACAUUUCUCAGCCUUUUCUAUUAUCUUCUGCUUACAACUCCCGCCACCGCAGCCGCUAUCUCAAUUACCAAGAAGGUCAGUGCUAGGGUUUCCGCAGAAAAAUUAUUUAUUUUUUCCCUGAUGCAGUCAUUUCAAAUUAUCGUGAAAUUAUAAAACAAAAAUACCAGGGCUUGUAUAAAAAUGGUUCUUAUUGUUUAUUCGACCAAACAGCGAUAUGGUGACUGACACGAAUGUGUUUUUAUUGUCUGAGUCUUCUUUUUUAUUAUUAUUAGAUUUAGGUAGCAUUUGGGCCUGAGAAUGUGCCUUCUUUAGAAAGCACUUUUGACUAAAAGCUCUUGGUAGCGCUUCUUCGGGAAAGCAGUUUUACAGCUGCUUUGUCAACUGUUGUUUCAAAUGCAAAUUGAAACACAUUCGUGUUAGUGAUGUGCCCCGGCAUGGUUCUGCUUCGAUCUUCAUUUUGCAAGGUUUUGUUCUGUUCUAUAAAACAAAUGAAUUGGUCUCAUCAGAUGGUAUGCAUUUUAAUUGAAAGGUGAAAAAAGUAAAGAAAUUGAAACAAUGUAUGAGAAUCUUUGAGUGUUUUUGUUAUAAAACGUAGUUCUUGAUCGCCUUCCAUUGUGUCAAUGCUUGUUCAUUUAUAGAAAUUUUUUACCAUGAUUUGAAAUUCCGAAGAUGGAUUCAUAGUUUAUAUUGGAAGAUUGAAUGUUGAAACAGUCUAAAUUUAUCCACCAAGUCAUUUACCGAUUAGAAACUAAACAUUCGGGUAUUGACAACCCUGUCUAGAAAUUUUGCAGAGCAAAAGUCUUCAACGAGUCUCAGCAUUGACUAUCGUAGGCCAUGCAGCUUAUUUUCAUUUUCCUUGUUAUCUUUAAUUUGGGUGAUUGAAAUUUACGAGUCAAAUGUAUAUAAAAAUUGUCAAUUUUAUUAAAAUGUUCUGUCAAUUUCUUAAUCUUGAAUUUGAGUGACUGAAUUUUUUAAUUGAUAUGUCUAUAAUAAUUUUUUUUUUAAUUUUACAGAUAUGAGUUCAUCUACUGAUAGUGAUGAUGAUUUAAUUGAUUUGAUUGCAUUACCGAUAAUUAUGUAUCAAUAUCUCAACUAUAUGGUCGAGGAAUCAUGUAGUACUGAUGACGACACAUCUUACGGCAGCACUGUUGUUUCUGCACCACAGAAAAAGAGACAAAAAGUUUCAAAAGGAGUCGGAGUUGCUCAAAAUUCUUCCCGUAGAGCUGUUGUUUCUACCCAAGUAAAAAAGACAGAACUUCUUUCUCAAGGAGUUGGAGUUGGUGAUGCUGCGUCACGUAAUAUUGCUGUUUCUACACGAGGAAAAAAGAAAGAAAGCACUUCUUCCCCUAAUGAUGUUGUUGCCACACAAGAGCUAAAGAGAGAAUUUGUUUUAAAAGGAGUUGGGGUUCACAAUUCUUCUCGCAAUGCUGUUGUUUCUACACAAGAAAAAUUGAAAGAUGUUUCUGAAGGAGUUGGAAUUGCUGACACUUCUUCACAUAAUGCUGUUGUUUCUGCACAAGGGAAAAAAAGACUACAAGUUUCAGAAGAAGCUGAACUUAAAGUAUCUCAACAAUUAGAUGUUCUUUUAGAUGCUGUAGCAAAGAAGAGUUUUAAGGGGAUAGAUAAGCCGGGUUGUAGCAUUGGGGAAGUGAUGCAAAUGGUAGAGGGGAUGCCCGAAAUUGUUGAGAAUGAUGAGCUAUUCAUGAAAGCUGCUGAUAUCUUAACUGAAAGGCAGAACAGAGAGAUGUUUGUUGCACUAAGGGAGAAAAACAGGCAAAUUAUGUGGCUUAAGCAUAAGAAAGUCUGAUGCCACAGCUCUGUCAAUUGUUGACUUGGUUAUAGGAUCAGUGUGUUCCGUUACGUCAGAUUUAUUUCUAGUCUACAAAUGGUGUCAGGUGUUUUUGGGUUCCUAUCCCGUACAUCAAGUAUGUGAAUAGAUGGUUAUCCUUUUGGUAUAUUACUUGAGGUCUAUAAUCUCAUUUCAAACUCUAUUAUGCUCAUGCCAUUAUGUAAGUGCAGGUUUCCUAGUAUAGCUCUUGCAUAUAUUGAUGGAAUUUUAGUUAGAAAUUUCUUCUCGAUCACCUUGUUACCUGGUAAUGACACUAUUAGGUUACAUAAUCAAUUAAUCAUCUUAGUCAUUGAUCUCUUUAAACCUUAAUCGUCGGCUUCUGCUUCCGAUGCUAAUGCAAGUUCCCAUCUGGGUUAAUAUUAUUCUGUUUCUGAAGGUAUGGAACUCCUUUGAGUUUUGCUUCUGUUUCACAUUUUAUAUCAAUGGCAGCGGCCUUAGCUCGUUUGUAGGGAGUUAUUGCAUGAUCCUCAGGUGGUUAACUUGUCAGUGAUAAUUAAUCUAAGUGAUUGACAUACAGUAAUCUGGGGGGAAAAAUAAUAAUAGAAGAAUGAACAAAACUCUGCCGACAGGUUUUGGCUAUUGAUAAGUAGAGCAGGUAUGAAAUGACAAACCAUUUACUGAAGGCUGUAUGCAUGCAAUAGUGACAAGUUUAGGGAGUUUCACCAACUUAAAUGCAAUUACUGAUCUUGAUUAUGAAAGUAAUGAAAAUGAUUACGUAUUUUAAUAUAAUAUUUGUCUAUUUUGGCUACGAGUCUUCACAAUUUUGUUUCCAGAUACACUUUAAGAUGUUACACUUUAUUAUGUGCUAUUUCAAGUCUUGAGGGAUUAGGACAUUAUAAACUAAAUUUUACCCUGAUAUCAUUUGUAACGACCAACUCGCAUACAAUAAAAGAAAUGAGGCACUCAAUCAUUGGAUAAAAUCGUCUUUUUGAUCUACAUCGUCAAUAAAUUUUACUCUCGAAUAUUAAUUGGGAUCAGGCUACGGUGCAACAGUGGCACCGUGCCACAGUUGCACCUAAGGGGAAUCAUCAGCUCUCAUAUAAUAUAUGGAAAUCAAUCUACAAGGUAACUGUACUAUAGAGCACAGAGCAUCUUCUUGGAAGAUGCAAAAAUCAUGAAAACCAUGAGGCCAGCAAUGCUCUCCUUACAUUAAUUAUCUAUCUUGUCUAUUUCCCUGGAAGCAUCUUCAGUCAGAGUCCAGCAUCUUCAGUCAGAGUCCAACAAUCCUGCACCACAACAAUCACCUACCAAACUCACUUAUCACUUAUUAUUUUAUAACUCACAGCCACUUAUCUCUAGACACAAGCUUUCAAGUACAGAAGCUACCACUCUGCUUAUCCUGCGAAAGCUUAAGAGCUUCUCAUUCUCACUCUCUGAAGGCCUUGCUGCUGUCAACGUUUGACCUCUCACUCCCCGCAAGUUUAUGACAACCAGAAUUCUCUGAGUUAGUAAGCCAUCUCUUCAACUUUUAUUGAAGUUCUUUUAGUUGCUUAUUUUAAGUAAAGAAGACCGCUUCUCUACUUUUACCGUCCAAUUUUCAUCAUGUGGGAUAUUUAUGCCUUUCCAAAAUUUAAUGUAGCAGGUGACAAAGAUCAACAAAUAUAGUACUGCAAACAAUCCUGAAUCAGAUUCCGGGGAGAUUCACAGCAAGAGGAAGUAGAAAAUGGAAAUGAUAAUUUUGAAACCUGCUGUAAUUUCUUUGCUUUCAGUUCUUGUGUUAUACAUUUCAUGGUCUUGGAGGGUAAACUCUCACGAAAGCUUUCACCAAUGCCUUCUGGACAAUUCUCCGCCCUCCCACCCAAUUUUUCAAGCAAUACAUACUCCUCAAAACUCUUCAUAUUCAUCUGUACUGCAAUCAUACAUCCGAAAUCUCCGCUUCAACACAUCCUCAACUCCAAAGCCUGUGCUUAUUGUGGCUGCAAUGCAUGAAUCCCAUGUCCAAGCUGCCAUAAAGAAUAACUGAAAGAAUAACUUAAAUGUUUAAUCAUGCUGAUGCUUUUAUUUUUCUUCCAGGAGAUCUUAUAACACUAGAGGCACUUAUCACACUAGCAUCUUGCGCCCAUCUGCACAUUCACCAGAAACCCAUCGAUUUGUUAAAUGUCAAUAAUUUUUAUGAUGGCUUUAUCGCAUUUCUUAACCAUGCAAUAAAAAACUAUUUCAUUCCUUCUAAUGCGAAAAAACUUUUUAUUUGUGCUCACACUGCUAAUGAGCUACUUGAUCUGUUACAAGCUUAUAAACCGGAGCCAAACCCCUGGACCCUUCUGUUGGAACGCCCAAAUAAUGAUGGUAACAGUAGCCGCAGUAAGAAGUACAAAUUAGAUUUAACUCUCCGCUUGUAAAUAUUUUCUUCUGUGUUGCACCACCCAGGUGAUUUCUUCUAAACUCUACUUCUUUCCUUUACAACAUUGAGGACAAUGUUUCGUUCUAGUUGGGGGGGGGAAUAGUUGACAAUUGUGGAAUCUUGGUUAAGUUUUUACUGAUUUUUUGUUGUAGAAACUAACUGUUGCUAACUUUUUGUGUUGAAGAUGGCUGAAUAUGGAGUGUAGUGACUCUAGAAACGCAUCUUCAUCGUUUGAAAAAAAAAACAAAAAAAAAAUUGUUUUCUUCCUCUUUUUAAUUUCUCCUUUAUAAAUAUGUAUUUUUAAAUUUUUGAGUCGAAGAUGGCUGAAUAUGGAGUGUAGUGCCUCUAGAAACGCGUCUUCUUACAAAAAAAAAUCAUUUUCGUUUUCUAUCAUUUUAAGUGUAACUUUUCUAAUUAGUUUUUCUGCAUCAUUUUCACAUUUCUGCAUGCAUAUUUUCCUUUCAUGUUUAGAAUAAGUUGGGGGGUAGGAUGUUGUUUAAAAAAAAAAAAAUUAUGUGAUUUGUUUUAACAUUAGAUGACAUGAUUAAUUUUAAAUUUUAGUAUUUGUAUUAUCUUUGGUCUUAAGUGAUGUUACGCUAUGUUUACUACUUUACAUGUUGAUGUCGGAGACAAAUAUGAGUUGCUUGAAGGAAUGAACAUGUCAUAAAUAAGUGCCAAGUGAGUUUUUGAGCCUAUCAUUUUUCUUGGAGAGUAACCCUUUUGCCCAUUCUUUAUACAGCUUAGCAGUUUAUUAUUGUAUACACGAUCUCUAGAUUUCUUUUGAGUUAACCCUUAAAAAAAAAAUUGUAAAAUUAAAAAAAAAAGAAGAAAAAACAUUGUGUGUUGCUACAUUUGGAGGCUCAUCUAAUUAGUAGAUAUGGAAGGUUAUUUAGAGCUCUAAAAGACGAUGGAAAGGCCAUUUUUGAUCCGUUUGAGCCUUUCUAGCUAUCCCUUUUGUGAAAUAUCCAUAGUUAACCAUUUUGAGCCUUUUUUAAAAAAAAAAAGCCUUUUAUUUGUUAAACUUAUCAUCUUGACCCACUCCGAUUUGGAGUAUUACCCGAUAUCUUAUAAGUUCCAUCACCUAUUUAUGUUUGAGAAAAAUGUAAAUAAUUAUUUUGUUCAGUGACGUUGUGCCAAGCAAAAGCAAAAAAAAAAAAAUUGUUUUAAAACAAAAAUAAAAUAAAAUAACAAUAAUAGGUGAAAUUCACCUUCCAACUUCCAAAAAAAAAAAUUCAUCUGUAUUUUUCUCAAACAUACACUUUGUUUUUCUUAUUUACCUUCUUUGUUAACCAUGUCCCUAGCCUACGUUACGUCCUAAUAAAAGUCCUUGAUUUUAGGGAACUAUAGUCUGAAGUAGAAGCUAAUUAUAUGGGCUAAAAAGAUGUAGUGAUGCAUAAUAAAAAACAAGAUAAAUAAAGUGGGUUGACUAGCAUUUUUGUUUGACUUGAGAUCAUAUUAUUUCUAAGUUGAGUGCACAUUUCUUUCAUCUUGGUGAGAGCAUGUGAUAUCACUUCUUUAUUAUUUUCUCUCUCAAGUACCAUUCAUUGGAGUGACUAUUUUUAUUGGGUUUAAUUUCUUUGUGAGAGUGUCACUACUUCCAGUGAGAUUUUGGAGUUUGACAUGUCAUUCUUGAAAGUAGCUAUGACAAAGUCUACUGGGCUGAUUCAUGUGGAUGGUUGAUGUGGGUGUGAUGUUGCUUUAGACUGGAGAUAAUACUUAUACUUUUAUUUGAUUGCUAUCAUUAGUCUGAUUGAAUAAACAAGAGUGUUUAAAAAAAAAAUUGUGUUUGAAUUUUAUUUUCGCUUUAUUUGCUAGGGACUAGCAAUAAGCUGGUUGGGGGGUGUGUUGAGUGUUAGAAAAUGUAUAUUUAUAAAGGAGAAAAUCGUUAUUUUACAUUUCAAGUCUUACUAACAACCCUUACUUUUAUGUAUUUAAGGUUCUUGUAAUUUAAUUAUGUGUGUUUUAUUUUAAUUAAGUAUUUUGUGUAUUUUAGGGGCAUCAUAGUCAUUUCACAAUAAACGAGAGAUCAAAUGGUAAAACGGACAUCACUUUUGAACUCAGGACGGUCGAAAACCUUAGGAGGAGCAUAAAAGGGAAAUGGCACUGUUCACAUGUACGGUACUAUUCACGGCACGGUACUGUCUACGUUACUGUUCACGACACUGUUCACAUAGAUAGAUCGAUGAUGUGGCAUUGACUGAUGAGGUGUCACGAUCCUAUUGGACUAAAAUUCUUAUGUACUGUUGAUGGUGACGUGGCAGCAUAUCAGUGGACCAAAAAUCUCGCGUACGGUACAUGCAUCACACAGGAUUAUUUUCAACCAAACCGCGUCACUGUUCAACCAGGGUCAAACUGUGUUACUGUUCAUCCACGUGGUCAAACCGCGUGCUGUUGACUGAUGACGUGGCGCAAUCCUGAGCGUCCAAACUGUUUUUAAUCCGAUGGCCAUGAUUUACUCCAUGUAUCUAUAAAAAGGGGGCCUCCCCCCCUAAUUUGAUAUCUCUGAAUCCAUUUUUGGGAUCCAUUUUCUAUAAUUCCUUCUCCAUCUUGUAUUUUCUAUGUAUUUUAAUAAAUUCUCAUUUUGCCCCUAGUUCAAUUAUGAGUGGCUACUUUUCUUUCAAGUUUGUAUUGAAGGUGAAGUCUCAACAUGUGUCAUGGGCUUUAUUUGGUAAAUUUAUUUUCUCUUCCCCUCUAGUUUUUGUGGAUGUUUUGACUUCUCGUCGAUAAAUAAUAAUAAUCUUGUCUAGAUACCAUCUUGGUUAUACCGGCUCUCUAGUACAAGGUUAUUAUUAUUUGGCACGAUAAGCCCUUAGCACCAUAUUGAUUAGAGUGUGGUUCAUGAGGUGUGGAUUCCCCCCUCAUGAUUUAAUUGGUAUUAAUAAGGAAUAUUUAGCCCAUGGUGCAUGUUGAUACGGAUCCGGAUACCCAAGUGCUUCAUUUCAAUAGAUCUAUCUUCAAUUUAUUCUCGCCAUUUUAAUUUAAGUUUUAGAAUAUUCCAAAUCAAUUUCACCAUAAAUUCAACCACCCAUUUACAAAAUUAAUUCUACACACAAUUAAAAUCCACAUCCUCGUGGGAUCGACACUCGUCACCAUUAGUCUAUUCUACAAUAGAUUCGUGCACUUGCGAGUUCAAUAAAAUUUAUACAACAAGUUUUUGGCGCCGUUGCCGUGGAGGUAAGUAAUUUUAAUUCAUAGAAUUAAUUUUUGUGAAUAAUUUCUUUUAUUUGUUUUCUUGUAUUUUUUUAUAAAAAGAAAAAAAAAAAGUGAAUCCGCAUUUAGAGGUUAGUAUUUCUUUUCUUUUUCUCUUCUUUAAAUUUAUGUAAUUUAAUUUUCAAGUUAUUUUUUUUUCUUUGUACUUUUUGUUUAUCUUACUAAUUCUUUUUAGUUAAUUUAUUUCACAUAUUUUUUUUGUGUAUUUUUAUAGUAAGGUUGUAAUAGCGCAAUAAGGUUAGUAUCGUAAUUUCUCCUUCCUCUUUAUUUUAUUUGUUUUGUUCCCAUUUAUUUUUGUGUUUCUUGCAUGUAUGGUCGUAGGUCAUUAUUACCUAAUCUUGAACUUAUAGACCUUGAACUAGAAAAAACACUUCGCACACACAAACAAUUUAAAAAUAAAAUGGAUUUGCAACCACAUGAGACCCCAUUUAAGGACUAUUUCAGUCCCUUAGCUAAUUUGAGCACAUCAUGCAUAAGAUACCCAAAUGUAGCUGCUAGGAGUUUGGAGUUAAAACCUAAUGUGCUAAAUUGUCUCCCAACAUUCUAUGGCUUAGAAAAUGAGGACCCAUAUAAUCAUCUUGAAUGAUUUUCAUGUUAUUUGUCAAACUUUUAAAUACAAGAAUUUUUCGGACAAUGAUGUUAAACUCAGAUUAUUCUCAUUUUCUUUAAAAGAUAGAGCUCGUUCAUGGCUUAAUACAUUGCCUGCUAAUAGCAUUGCAUCAUGGGAACAAAUGGUAACAAAAUUUUUGAAUAAAUAUUUCCCAGUGCAUAAACCAAUGCUAUUCGCAGGGAAAUUUCAGAGUUUACACAGAGAGAAGACGAGCAAUUUUUCGAAACAUGGGAGCGAUUCAAUGGGCUACUCUUGAAGUGUCCACAUCAUGGGUACAAAAAAUGGCACCAAUGCCAAUACUUUUUGGAGGGAUUAUUGCCGAAUGUGCAAGAAUGACUAAUGGCAACAAGUGGAGGAGAGCUAAUGUCAAAAAGUGCAACAGAAAUUUGGGAAUUCUUCCAACGACAAGCGGAUAAUUCCCAACAACGGAGUCGAUCACUUAGGAAUACUAGAAGAAUUAAGGGAGUAAAUGAGGUUCACAUUGGCGAGUCAAGUUCAGAAAUUAAAGAAGUCAAAGCAAUAAUUGAAGGCCUCUCUCGACAAAUAGCAUCGUUAUCGACUGCUAAAUCAACAGAGCCACAUAACCAUGACUCAUACUCAGAUCAAGCCAAUGUCAUAGGUGUAAUGAGAAAACCAUCGAAUUACAACCCAUACUCCAACACAUAUAACCCUGGAUGGAGAGACCACCCCAAUUUUUCAUGGUCUCAAGGAUUCCAACAGAAUGGACCGGCAGCUCCAACAACACCAAUUCCACAAAAUCCUCAAGCCUCUCAGCCCCCAUUUAGACCAUUCAAUCAAAACCAGAACUACUCUCAACCCAGACCAUGGGAGGAUUUAUUCCAGAAUCUCAAGAAUCUUACUCACUCCACGAUUGAGCAACAGAACCGCACCAUUGAUGGACUACGAAAUGAGUUGAGAGCAGGCUUCAACUCACAAGCUCAAUCAGUUUCAAGCCUCGAGAAGAUGGUGGGACAACUUGCUUCUUCAGUUCAGACCUUGGCAAUGACUGUUGAGAAAGGCAAGUUUCCAAGUCAACCAGUGCCUAAUCCUAAAGGAGUACAUGAAGCAAGUAUCAGUUCACCACAGCAGCAUGGAGAGGUCAAAGCAGUCAUGACCGUGCGAAAAGGAAAAGAAGUCGACAAUAAAGUGGAGAUGCCGGUGACAAAAGAAAAUCAAAUUGUACCUGUGAAUGUUGAGGACUCACCAUCGAAAGAGAAAAAAGAAACCAACCCACGAGAAUAUGUUCCCAAAGCUCCAUUUCCUCAGAGGUUAGCUAAAGGAAAGAAGGGAAAAUCCACAGGUGAAAUUCUUGAAAUCUUCAAACAGGUAAGUGUUAACAUCCCUUUGCUCGAUGAUAUAAAAUAAGUUCCAUCUUAUGCCAAGUUUCUUAAAGACCUUUGUACUAAAAAGAGAAACAUUCAUGUUCAAAAGAAUGCAUUUUUAACAGAAAAUAUUAGUUCUAUACUCCAACAUAAAAUUCCUCUAAAAUGCAAAUAUGCAGGUUCCCCCACUAUCUCAUUUAGCAUAGGGAACCACACAAUUGAGAAUGCUUUGUUGGAUUUAGGAGCUAGUGUAAAUCUGUUGUCUUACUCAGUAUUUUUGAAACUUGGACUUGGAGAAUUACACCCAACUCCAAUGGUGUUACAGCUUGCAGAUCGGUCCACGAAAAUACCUCGUGGUAUUGUGGAGGACGUGCUUAUCCAGGUAGACAAGUUUUAUUUUCUUGUUGAUUUCAUUGUAAUUGACACUCAACCAAUACAGGAUUCAAGGAAGUACAUCCCCAUUAUUCUAGGCCGACCUUUCUUGGCAACUGCGGAUGCUCACAUUCAAUGCAGGACUGGAAAUAUGCAGUUGUCCUUCGACAACAUGACUAUAGAGUUGAACAUCUUCAACAUUGCCAAACAACCUCAUAAUGCAGAUGAUGAAAUUUCAAGAUUAAUUUCAUACAAUCUUCAAGAUUGAUUUCAUACAAUAUUCUUAUAUAUUAAUAUGAGAUGGCUCUGAUACCAAUUGUUGGAGAAAAAUCAGUUUUUAAAAUUUUAUAAAAACUUUUAGGAUUGCUCUCAUACAAUAUAUAAGAAUUUGUAAUCUAGAAAUUGUACCUUGAAAAUCCGAUUUGGCUUUUUCUGUUGAAUUGAUUUAGGCUUCCAGAUCACAAUCAGUCACCACCACUCUUGUUAGAUCACGAUCCGCCACUAAAUAAUCUUCCAGGCUAUGACUCAAGUUUGAUUUGCACUUGACGUGUGGGCGCCUUUAUCACCACUAAAAGCAACUAGUACGAGAAAAUUUGUCUCUCAACAAUAGAGAGAAAAUUUUUUUUCUCUGAUCUGUAUAAAGUGGUUGCUCUCUUUCUUUUGGGAGAAAAUAAGUCCUUUUAUAUCACUAUCUAGUGGAAACCCUAACCUCCAUUUUUUAUAUUAUUUAAUGCUAUUAAAUCAAGUUUGAUUUAAAUUAAAAAUAAUAAACCAAAACUAACGUUAGUUCUUUCUUAUCAUAGGGGCCCACCUUAUAAAAUAACACAAGGCCCCUUAGACACAAGUACAUUACAUGGAGCCUCCCACUAAAUAAUAUAUUUAGACUUUUAACCCAAAUCGCUAGUUAUCUUGCUUAUUAAUCUAGUAGUAGCGCAGUCAAUUAAAUGAGCUAACCCGGGGAUCAUUUGGGAACAUAAAAUAGUGGCUAUAAUAAUUAGGCAUGUAAUUAAACUAACCCAAUUAUUUAAUUCCAAAUCUACUCCACUAAAAGAUUGGAACUGACCUCCAUAAUUGUAUACUCGAAUAAUAAUUCGUCCCAAGCCACAUUGAUUUCUUUACUGCUCAAUCCUUUGUACCACAUCGUUAAUUAAAUCGAUAUCUCAAUUGUCCAAUCAAUUUAAUUACAUCUUAUUCCUUGAUACUUACUGGUUUUCUCUAAUGAUCAUUUUCAACAUACUAAAUAUGUUGACACACUCUGGCCAGAGAAUUCUAUGAUCAAGUACCGAAAACCCAUCAAGAGAUGUGUUGUACAAAUUCUAUAGUGUUAAUUUAUAACUCCAAUACUAAUAAUUGCUCCCACCAAGAUACCGGGUAAUCUUGACCACAAUUGUGUGUUGUGCCCAUUGGUAACUCAAAUAAAAUAACAAUUAUAAUCAUAAAAUCAUAACUAACUCAAGAUUAAGAUUAUAGUAAAAUCAAUGCCUAUGAGAUUUAAUAAGUUUGACAAUCAUUGCAAGGUUAAUUACAUCUCAUAUGUGAUCCAACUCAAUGUAGUCAAACUACAUCAGUAAAUUCAUAUAUGAUUAAGACAUAUCAUUCAAUGAAUUUACUACAGUCUAAACAUAAAUAGAGCGUCCAACUCUAUAUAUCAACUGUGAACUAAAUUUAUUUAAUCAUAAGAUAACUUGUAUUUAUGUCUUCUGUGAAUCUAUAUGAUGAUCACAUAAAUACAUAUAGUAUGAUUAAACGGACCUUAUUCAAUAUAUAUUUAUGCAAUUGAAAAUAUCCCAAAUAUUUUAUUAAUCAAAAAAUAAAUUAAUAUGCUUUAAAAGAGCAUAUAAUCCCAACACCAACUCCUAAAUCGAAGGCUCCACAAGAGAACUUGCUAUCGUUGUCGCUUUUGCUGCCGUAGUUUGUGAUUCUUUUUAUCCAAACUCUUGCGAUUAAACAAGACCACACAAAAUUUUCAAAUAUUGAAGUAAAGGAUAACUUUUUUUAUUGGGGUCAUCUUAAAAAUAUUGCUGUAAAUAGUAAAUAAGAAUUUUUACAUUAAUUGAUAAAAUGGACAACUUAUUAGCUACGAGUUACAAAAGCCAAUAACUCCCUGAGGAAGAGGGAAGUGAAGGAGAGUCUAUUAAUUUAUAGGGAACUGCUAAUUUGGAGGUGCUCUUAAGUUAGAGUCUCUUCUAUAACCAUUUGAUCUAAAGUUGAAAUGAGUGUUGGUUCUUUCAAAUUUAUAUCUGGUGGCUGCAAUGGAUGCUUUAAGUUAGAGCAUAUCCAACAUAGUUGGACCCUAAUUUAUAAUUUUUUUGACUUUACAUUUUUAGGAUGGAUUUUAAUUCAAAUAUGUCGAGUUGGGUCUCUAAAGAUAUGUUAGGUUUUAUUUAUUAUAAAAGCCUACAAGUUUAAUUCACACUCAAAAGAUAGCUCAAGAAUUGAGUAUUAUCUCAAGGUUUAUAUUAUAGCCCAGUAAUUUUUUUCAGCCAAUGGCCUAAUGUUGGAUAAUUUCAUCAAAACUUCAUGUCGUAUGCAAAUCGUUCUUUUCACAUAGUCCUUGUCUGAUGAAAAGGUAGUGUGAGCCUACUUUUAUAUGAUUUUGACUUUGAUACUAUACAAAAGCUUAUGGUCCUAUCUUAUACUCAAACUAAGGGUAAAAGCUCAUUUAAUCCCUACAUUUUAAUAUUAGUGUCUGUUUCGUCCCUGUAUUUUUAAAAAUGCCUCGAAACAUCCCUGCCGUUAAAGUAUUGAUACAUCUACCGUUAUUUUUUAUUUCUUUUAGCUUACUUUUACAAUAUUGCCCUUUUAUAAUAAUUUUUUUGUUUGAACAUUAAUAAAAAGAAAAUAAUUAAAUUACCAAUUUCACCCUAGAAAAUAAAAAAAUUAUAUUAAUUUUUUUACAAGCACCAUUUUCACAUUUGGUAGUUUGCAUACAAUUUUUGACAAUUAAAAAUUAAUAUAUUUUUUUUAAUUUUUAGGGUUAAAUUGGUAAUUUAAUUAUUUUCUUUUUAUUAAUGUCCAAACAAAAAAAUUAUUAUAAAAGGGUAAUAUUAUAAAAGUAAGCCAAAAGAAAUAAAAAAUAACAAUUUAAUUUUUGACAAUUAAAAAUUAAUAUAUAUUUUUUAUUUCUUAGGGUUAAAUUGGUAAUUUAAUUAUUUUCUUUUUAUUAAUGUCCAAACAAAGAAAUUAUUAUAAAAGGGUAAUAUUGUAAAAGUAAGACAAAAGAAAUAAAAAGUAACGGUAGGGGUAUUAAUACUUUAACGGCAGGGAUGUUUCGAGGCAUUUUUGAAAAUAUAGGGACUAAAUGGAUACUAAUCUUAAAAUACAGGGACUAAAUAGGCUUUUACCCCUCAAACUAAUUCAAGGGUUGAGGUUGAAUAAUCCAAUAAAUGUUUUGAGCCAAUGUGUAAUUAAAUCCUUAAAAUUUAUCAAUAUUUAUACUUUACUCUUUUCAUAACAAUAUCUUGAAAAAGGUUGGAUAAAAGUACAUUUAUCCAAUAAAUGUACUUUUAGUUUAUGAAUUUUUUUUUUUAAUUAAAAGUGAUAGACAAAUAAGACAAUAUUUAUACUUACAAAUUUGGAAUACAAACUCAACUAACAUAACAUAUAACACAUUAUAUUCUCUCACACUCGCUCCACAAAAUAGAAUAAUAAAUAUUUUGAGGUUGAAUAAUCCAAUAAUCCAAUAAAUAUUUUGAGCCAAUGUGUAAUUAAAUCCUUAAAAUUUAUCAAUAUUUAUACUUUACUCUUUUCAUAACAAUAUCUUGAAAAAGAAAAAAGAAAAACAUGUCUUGGAAUAACCAAAUUACACAUUUCAUUUUUGUCAGUUUUGUCGAUAUAUCGGGUGGAAAGUAAAUGCAACACUCAAGCAUUUUUUGAAUUUGGAUGGUUGAGCAAACUUUUUCAGCCUAAAGGAUAUAUACUUCAGGUUUGCACGCGGCUUGAUUUGUUUGUUGGAAUUUUAUUGGACCUUGAUCCGUUACAUGAUAAUGUAAGGGGUCUGCCUACCGUGCAACAGUUACACGGUACCACUGAAUUUUGUCUUUUUUCAACAAUUACACUAUACUACCCAAUAUUUAUAAGAAAACUGAAUAGAUACUAUAAGUUACAAAUUUUUAUAUAUAGGUCCUUUUCUUUGGAUAAAAUUAUAAAAUGACUUUUGAAAAAAAAUUUAACUGUUAUUAUUAUUAUUUAUUAAUGUCAUUAUUAUAUUAUUAUUAUUAAAAUUUAUUAUUUUAAUUGUUAUGAUUGCUUUAAUUAGUUAUCAUUAUUAUUAUUAUUUAUUGAUUUUAUUACCGUCACUAUUUUUAAAAUAUAUUAAAUUUAUUACUGAAUUAUUAUUUUAUUAAUAUUAAUAAAUUUAUUAAUCUUAUUAUUCUAAUUAUUAUAUUUAUAUUAAUGUUGUUGUUGUCGUCGUCGUCAUCAUCAUCAUUAAACUUUAUAAAUUUUUUUUUUGUUUUGACUAUUAAAUAAUACCAUUGUCAUUAUUAUUAUUUUGCCUUAAUUAAGCAUUACAUAUAUUUUAAUUAUUUUUUUUAUUUUUUAUUAUAAUAAAUAAAAAAUAUAAAAAUAAAUUAAACUAUAAUAAUAUGUUAUUAUAUCAUAUUAUAUUUAUUUAAAAAUAAUUAAUAUGAAAAUAAUAAUUUAAUAUAAUUAAUAAUAAAUUUAAAUAAUUUUAGUUUAAUAUUAGUACAAAAUUAAUUCAGUACAGGAUAAUACCAAUUACCAAAUGUUGUAUAAUUUUAUUAUAAUUAUUAUAAUAUAUUGCUAAUGUAAUAUAAUAUAAUAUAAUAUAAUACAUGUGCAUUACAUAAUAAAAUAUAAUAUAAUAUAAUAUAAUAUAAUAUAAUAUAGUGUGCCAAACGGACCUUUAACUUUUUGAGUGAUGAUAGUCUAGAGGGAUGUAGAGAAAGUAAAAAUAAUCACGGUAGAUCUUUUACAAUUGUUGAUUAGCUAUCAUCACAAAGUUUAGGCUAAUACAAUAAAAAUUAACCAACUACCUUAUAUUUGAAAGAGCAUUUGGAAAUCAAUAAAUUUACUAUUCAAUUAUUUUUAAUCAAGAAUAAAUAAUAAAUUAUCAUUACAACAAGAUUCACAAGCUCAAAUAUCUAAAAAAAAUGAUAAUUCUCAAGAAAUAUGAAGCUCAAAUGCUUUUGAAAUAUUCUUAAAAAAAUAAACUAACUUCCUUUUAUGUUAUUCUUUAUUUAUCUUUCUAUAACUUUGUUGGGCUAUAUAUAUAUUGAUAUUUUAUAGGUAAAUUAACAUAUUGUAUGUAUAAAUAAACUAACAUGUCAACUAAUGCUAAAAACAAAAAUGUAAUAAAAGAGUAAAGUUUUGUAAUAUUAAAAUAAUAAAAUUUUACAAUCUAAGACUUUUUACAUGUUUCUUAUUUUGAAAUUUCACCUUUUUAUUUUAUAAUUUUCUAAAGUAUCAAGGUUAAUAACCUAUAUUCUUAAAACAUAUUCAAUUUAUUUAUUUUACAUUAAAUAUAUAUUAUAUAAUAAAAAAUAUUAUUUACAUUUAUCAAAUUUUCAUGUGUUUAAAAAUUUUAUGUGAUAUUAUAUUAUUAUAUUUACACCAUCAAUUAUUUUUAUGAUCAAAUUAAGUCAAUGGAUCAAACUUUAAAAAAUUUAAAACAACAGAAAUUAUGUAAGUGAAUAUUUAAAAACUUUUAACUUUUAUGAUUUUGUAAUAAACAGUAGGGACUUAAGUAUUAAUAACCAAUUGAACACAUCCUGACCGUUGAACACUUUAACCAUUGAUCCAUUGGCUGAGUUGAAAAAAGACAAAAAAAUGGGAUACCGUGCAACAGUUGCACGGUAGGCGGACCCUAAUGUAAGUUAUAUCAGCUAUAGAAUUAAAUAAAACAAGUCAUAAGUGUAGUCUACUUGAUAUAACUUUGUACUUGUCUCGUGCAAUUGACAUAACUUACAUCAUUAUCUAAGGGAUUUCUUACUUUUUAUUGAUAUUUUAAAAUAUUAAUGUCUCACAUUGGAGGAAAGUGAGUAAUUUCUUUUUCGUUUAAUUUGAAAUUAGACAUAUAUUAUAUUUAAUUACAAAUUAGAGUUAAAUAAAUUAAAUUUAGCUGUGAUUUUAAUUAUUUAAAUUGAAUUAAAUUAUAAGAAACAUAGAUGAUUAAUUCAAAUUAAAUUAGAAAAAGGAUUGUAGAGUGUUUUUCUACANNNNNNNNNNNNNNNNNNNNNNNNNNNNNNNNNNNNNNNNNNNNNNNNNNNNNNNNNNNNNNNNNNNNNNNNNNNNNNNNNNNNNNNNNNNNNNNNNNNNNNNNNNNNNNNNNNNNNNNNNNNNNNNNNNNNNNNNNNNNNNNNNNNNNNNNNNNNNNNNNNNNNNNNNAAAAACACGAGUGGAAGAAAAAUAAAAAUGAAAUAGAAGUUGUCUCAACAUUAUAAGGUUUUCGCAUGAAACAGCACCAUGUGUUAUACAAUUCAAUUAGUAUGACUUUCAAGGGACCAUCACAAACAUCAUCUUUUCAGAAGGAAAAUUGAAAACUGUGUCAUUUUCCAAACUUUCCAGGAAAAAAUCUUAAUUUUCUGGGCCAAUAAAAAGAAGCCCCGUUUGUUGAAAAUAGGCUGCGUUUGGGGCAGCUGCUCCUCAACCUAUAUUUUGGGGAAUAUUCCCCCAGAAUAAAAGGUGGGGAGCAGCUGCCCCAAACGCAUGCAUAAUCACUUCAAGUCAUCGUACCACAAUCUCAAUUAUAGAUUCAAAAUCAGGUUCUAUGACAACAAUUGAAGCUGCAGAUAUAUAUAGAUCCACAAAGAAACAUAGAAUACACACAUAAUUUAUUAUGUAAUUUUAUUUUAAUUUUUCUACUAGUUAUAUUUUACACACAAAUACAGGUUGUACAACUCCGUAGACUUAAUUAACUUUUAUCCAUUGAAAUACUCACAGCCCAACAAGUGCUAAACACAAUCUCACAGAGUUCAUAAGUUCACAACUUUAUUAAUUCACUUAUUUUAUCAGAAAGGACUCCAUAUAAUCUCCUUAUAUAACUGGAAGCAAUAAACAAAUUUUAACUGCCCUGAUUUUGAAUUCUCAAGAAAUCAAGAAAUGACUUUCCGCGCAGCUCGCUUGAAAAAAAUAUUUUCAAGUGAUCUACCACACUUAUCCGCUUAAAUAAUGCCGGAGUCUUUGGAGCAAUAAGACUUGUUGCCGGACCCAAUUCUCCAUCUAAUUUUAGGCUGUAAAAUGUAGCUAAAGAUAAUCUUUCCUUCACUGAGUUUACAGUUGCGCGAUGUUCAAUACUAGGAUAAGUUCCAUUGGUUAAUAUCUACAAGAUCAUAAAGAAAUAAAAAUAAAUAAAUAAAAAAUGAGAAAGUAUAAAAAAGAGGAGGACAAAAAUAGAUGAAACCAGUUAUCAACUAUAUAUCAUAUGCUAACAAGUAACAACAUAAUUAUUUUUGCAAGCAACUUGUUAUCAAUUAUUUUUUGUUAUGAAUUUGCUGUGUGUCUAUUUUCUAUCAUUAAUACGAUAAUCCUAUUCUAUUUAUUAAUGAAAGAUAUGUCAGAUGUGACAUAACAUUACUAGAGAUACAAACUAUGGAGGGAUGUAGCAUUACUGAUCAAUGGUUAUAGGCUAUAGAAAAUGACAAGUGUUACCUCUAAAACGUCACCAAUGUUGACUACAAAGGCAUCCGGAAGGGGUUUAACAGCAACCCAUUUUCCAUCUUUCUUAAUUUGGAGACCAUCCAUCUCAUUGAUUUGGAGGAGGACGGUGAGUGCGGAGGCAUCACAAUGAGAAUUAUGGCCGACAACUUUUUCUGGUUGCAGACAAGGAGGAUAAUAAUUCAUCCUGAAUGCUUGCAUCCCGUUUUCAAACAACUCUUCCAUAUCAUUGGGAUCCAUUCUUAGAGCUUUAGCCAUUUGGUCAAGGAUUUUCAGGGUAAGAUUUUUAAUUUCUGUUGAGUAAACUUCCAAGUCAUCUCUGCAUGGAAAUAACAAUAUAUAGUGCAGUAAUUAUCAUAAGAUUGAACAUACUAUAUAGCAAAACUCUACGCUUUGAAUUUAGAACCUGAAUGGAAGAGGCAACUUAGGGAACAAGUGGGGUUUCCUCAGAUGAGUUGGGAGAGUGACCAUAGUAAAGCCGUAUCCCCAAUCAAGCUUCUGCUCUUCAGACGCAAUAAAGUGCUGCCCAAAUCCCUCACUAUCUCCUGGUUGUUGCCAAAACUUCUUUUUCUCAUCAAUUGGAAGAUUAAAGAAGUCUUGAAUCUCUGCUUUCACUUUCUCCACCAAUGAACUGCUAACUCCAUGAUUAAUCAACUGCAUAUAUGCAAAUUAAAGCAAGAUGUUCUUUCCAUACAUCGUUCAUAUAGCAAAUAUAAAGCUCAGGAAACAAAAGAUUUUAAUGGAAAAUGCUAAAGAAACUGAGAGCUGAUAAAACGCUCACAAAAACAAUGAUAACCUAGUGUCGGUUUUCUUUAUUUGCACUCGAGUGAGUAGUUUUAUUAUCUGAAUAUCACAGCUCAAUUAUUGUGUACCUGAAAGAAACCCCACUCUUUACAUGUAUUGUCAAGCUUCUCAAGCUCUGAGUCAUCUCCAGAGAGCAACCUGUGCAUGUCGAUAACUGGAAGUUGUUGUGUUGAAGUAUCGUCGUUGCGAAUCAAGGGAUGGUCUAUCUCAAGGCGAACGAAACGUGGCGGAACAGUGGUCAGUGGCUGAUUAUUUGCCAGGUCCAGAAUCGAAGGCUCCACGAGAGAACUCCCAAUCACUGUUGCUUUUGCCUCCAUAUUGUGUAGAUUUAAAUUACCUUUUUGUUUUCUUCCACUCUUCUGCAGACUCAGCUGGUUCGUGUUUUAACAAGAAACUCGUAUAUAUAUAGUCCUCUGGAUGUACUGUACUGUAAUUGUGUGCAAUAAAAUAUUAAUUUUAUUAUGAAAACUCGAGGGAAUCUCGACAUUUGUGCAUAUGUUAAAGGACAUUGACACCAAUGCAACAUUAGGACGCCAAAAAUAAUCGUAGGAUGAAAUUAUUUGCACUUUAAUUUUAUUUUAGAAACUAUUUUAUUCUCUGCAUUUAUUUAAUAAAUUUUAAGAAUUGAUUUUUAUUCUACCAUUCUUUUAAAUAUCAAAACAAUCCUUUUUUUUAAUAUUUUACAAUUAUCUCACACAAUUUAAUUAUUUAUCAAGAGAAAAAAAAAACUUCAUUCUAUACAAUUAUAUUAUUUUUAAUGUUAAAAUCAAAACCAAAUUAAUUGGCUAGAAUAGCUCCUUGAACAAUCCAACUAUUCUCUGGCACAGUUAGGUACUCCAAAUCAACUCCGUCGCAGAGCGAACAAUGAAAUAUUAAGAAAAGUCUCACAUAGUAGUAAACAAUAAGAAUAAAAAGAGAGUAAAUAAAAUAACACAUAAUAUUUACGUGGUUUGAUUUCGUUAGACCUAUAUCCAUGGGGACAAACACACACAUUCAGAUUUUAUUAAUCACCAAAGAUUUUACAAUGAAAGUACAGGAGAUUAGCGAGCUUACAAUUUCUCCCUCUCCCUCGAAAACUAUUCAUCUAGUUAUCUUAAGUGUUUCUAACCCCCCUACCACUUUGGUUUGCAGCUGCCCCUUGGCCUACCUCCUUCGGCUCCUAGUUGUACCUUGGCCUGCCUCCUGACUGCCCGUUUGGCUACCUUAGCCCUUUCAGAUUCACUUUUGGAGUAACUCCCUCAUUGAUGUAAAUACCUAAAUAGCUACCAUUGUAAUAUCUCUCAUCAUGGUUAGUUUUCCAACCAUUAAGGGCUCGGGUAGUUAUCUAAUCAUUAUGGGCAGUUCCAACUACGGGUCCGGCUAUGUUGCAACUGUGGUACCGUGCCACAGUUGCAACCAGCCAUUGGAUGAGGGAUGCAACAGUGGAUCCAAGUGGAUCCAAUGACUGGUUGCAACUGUAGCACGGUACCACAGUUGUAACAUAGCCAAAUCCUCCAACCACAUCACAAAACCUAAAUAACUUUUGCAGCAUUUAUUUAACCACUAUGUGCCAGUGGAUUAAAAAUCCAAUUGAUCUGCUUCCAGUGACAUAGGUGUACCCCAACUAUCCCGACAAUACAUCUCAACAACCCAUCACAUCCUUAGGGAAGCUAGAAUUUAAGACUAUAAUCUUCUAGUUAAAAAGAUAUUCAAAUCUCUCUUUAACAAAAUAUCACUCUCUUCUCUUUUAAAUGAAAUAAGUUUUCUUAAAAGAGAAUUAUUUUUUUUAUGUAUACUAGAGAGUUACGGAAUAGGUUGUAUUUUUAAUUAAUAAUCUUCGAGCAACAGUAAUAUGAAGCUGAUUUGUUUUUCUUUUUUCUUUUUUUUUCCGUUUCGGAACUUGAAUUUUUUGAAAUUUUUAAAAACAAAAUAAUGUUACUUGAGAAUAGCGACUCCCAUACUCCCAACUCAAUCCGUUCGCAAAUUCAUAUCCAUAAAUGCGAAUGGGACCGUAUCUCUGUAGCAUGAGAGUCAAAAUCCGCAAUAAACGAAAGGUUCCAGAAUUCAAGGCUCGUGCUCUGCUUCCCACUACUUUUUGCUCGUCUUUGGUAUUGGAAAAGUAAACAGGUAAACAACCGCUAGGCAUGGGAAUUACACUCCACCAUAAAAAUCCUCUCCUUGCCAAAUAAAGCUUUAUCGUCCUUCUUCGCCGGCCCCUACAAGUGGAUGAUAAGUUGAGGCGGCUCCAAAUUCCAACUUGGCGUUCCCCCUUUUUUAUUCAAACGGUCAAAUGUUGAAAGAAAAAUUGUGGCUGCCCUUUUUGGUUUGAUCAAUGUCAUAGGUUCAGCUCAUACCAUAACAUGGCAACUAAACAUCUCUCUUAUUAGAUAGAUAAGAACUUCAUUUCAAAGAAAUUAAUUGACUCUUUUGAAAUGAUAGUGAUUGAAAUAUUUGUACCAACAAGUUAUUUUUAAUUCUUUUUUGUAGAAACUUUUAGCCUUGUACACAUAAGAUAAUAAAUAGAAUUGUUAAUACCCAGUGCAAUUAUACAUGUGUGAAUUAUUUUAAUACUUCGUUUUACUUUACUUUGUUUUUGUUAAAUGGAUGUUGCAUCCACCUUCUUGCAGCUCAUCGAUGGUCACACCCUCGGGUUUGAGAAUAGAUUUUUAAGUUUAAUAUUCGAGCUCGACAUAUCUCUUCGAUGGUUAAAUUUUGAGUUUUGUAUUUAUUUUUUUCGCCGUACGUACAAUCAAUUCAACAUUGUUUUUUAACUAGGUUAUAAAGAUCAAGGAGAAGUAAGGAGAAGGAAAAAACAAGGACAGAAUUCUAAUAUGUAACGGCAGGUUUUUAGCUGUGUUUAAUAAAUAUAUCUCAAUAGCAUAUUAAUUAGAAUACGUGGUAAAAUCUCUAUAAAUUAAUAAUGUAGGGACCAUAAAAAAUCUAUUAGUUUAAGGAGGUAUUAAUUAAUUGAUAAAUUAAUAAUUUAUAGAGUGCAUAUAUAAUUUAAUGGAUAUACAUUUAAUCAACUAAAACUACAUUGUAUUUAACUAAUCUAAGCAAAAUUUGGAGAAAUAGUCAUGCAAACCCCAAAGUUUUAAAAAAGGACACGAAGAAUUUUUUUUUUUAUUAUAAUAUCCUUUGAAUAUAGUAGCUAAUAAACUAACUUUAAAUUUUAUUUAUAUAUACAAAUAUAAUAUAAAUAGUAUAAUCUGUCUAGAGACUAAUAAAAUUAAAAUUUUUUAAUAAUUUAAGUAAUUUCAAAUGUGUAAAUUACUAUAUUUAUUUUAAUAAUAUAUUUGCAUUUAUUAUGAAGAUUUUAAGUAAGUCUUUGUGUUAAAUAGAUUUUACAAUUAAUAAGAUAUAUCAAAUAUUAGUAAUAUUAAAAUAAUUAUUUUACAUAAUAUACAAAAUAAUUCAAAUCCUAACAUAUUUAUUUUAAUAUUAUGGUUCUAUGUAUUAUAUAAAAAAACAUGUCUAAUAGAUUGUAAAAUAUUAAAAUAUUAAUACAUUUAUUUUAAUAUUAUAAAAUAUUACAGUUAAAAUUUUUUGUUAAUAGAGGUAAAGGAUAUUAUGGCCAAAAGAAAAUCCUAGCAUCCUUUAUUAAAAUGUGAAAAUUUGGGAAUAUUUGUGAUUAUUUUUUCAAAUCUUAGGAUACAAGUGUCCACUCAUUUUCUUAUUUUAAUAUUUAUUGGGUCUCUAUGUCGGAUCAGGAUUCUCUCCUGAUCUGAUCAUGUCCUGAGCAAAUAACUUAAUCUGUCCUGAACAAAUAACUCAAUCACUGAUUGAUUGUUAAUAAAUAAAAAAGUAAAAGAAGUUAAAUCUUACAUAUACACUACUACUAAAAGACACAUGGCAAAAGAUCCUUAAAAAUUCAGUAGUGCUCAGAUUAGGAGAGGAUCAUGGUCUCUCUAUGUCAUGGUUAUUUAGUCAACAAAAAAUUUUAGUUUUACACGAAUAUUAUUAUUGUGGAAUUUUUUCCAGACACAUGGUAAAGUAGCAGCUUGGAUGUCAGUUCUUUCACUUAGAAAAUUAAGGUCGUUGAUUGACCGGCAUAAAGCUUUCGUUUAUCAAUCAUGAAGUGGUCAGAUUUUCUAGAUAAAUGAUAAACACUGCGUCCCUUCCUUUCUAUGUCAGAUCAGGAUUCUCUCCUGAUCUGAUCAUGUCCUGAGCAAAUAACUUAAUCUGUCCUGAACAAAUAACUCAAUCACUGAUUGAGUAGUGCUCAGAUUAGGAGAGGAUCAUGGUCUCUCUAUGUCAUGGUUAUUUAGUCAACAAAAAAUUUUAGUUUUACACGAAUAUUAUUAUUGUGGAAUUUUUUCCAGACACAUGGUAAAGUAGCAGCUUGGAUGUCAGUUCUUUCACUUAGAAAAUUAAGGUCGUUGAUUGACCGGCAUAAAGCUUUCGUUUAUCAAUCAUGAAGUGGUCAGAUUUUCUAGAUAAAUGAUAAACACUGCGUCCCUUCCUUUGCCCAUGAAGGUCAAGAGUGCAAUCAUCCAAUAUCAACAACGUCGAAAAGGCUGCACGAAAUCGCGUUUAGCCAACAAAACUACAAACACUAACACGUAACUUUCUCGGAUACGUAAGUAGGAGUUUGAAUAUGUGUUCUUUCACUUACAAAAAUAACUGGUGGGGUGACUGUGAAUAGCUUUCUGUUUAUCAAACUCAAUGGUGCGGUUAGAUAUAACGACACUACUACAAAAUGAGUCAAUAAUGACAGUUUUAAAAGACAUAAGAUUAUGGUUUUAAAACCGUUAUCUUAGGCCGCGACAUUAAAAGGGGUAUAUUUUUUAUGACAGUUCAUAAACUGUCAUAAAAAGUCUAUUUAUAAUGACGGUUAAUUUCUUUAACCGUCAUUAUUGGCCAAUCUCCAUUGAUUUUUAAUGAUGGUUUAAUACUUAAACCGUCAUUAAAAAAUGACAUUUAAUGACGGUUAUUUAGAAAACCGUCAUCAAAUAUAACUUUUAAUGACGGUUGUUAUAACAAAACCGUCAUUAAAAGUUAAUAUUUAAUGACGGUUUAUUUUAAAAACCGUCAUUAAAUAUUGAAAUAACAUUUAAUGACAGUUUUAAAAAUGAACAAUCAUCUUUGUUGAAGAACACUACAUUUAAUGACAGUUUUUUUCAAAUAAUCGUCAUCUUUGUUGUUGAUUUUAAAAAAAAAAAUAUGACAAUUUUAAAACCAUUUCAAGCCCCUAUUUUAAUUCUAAUUUCCUUUCAAGCUCUUUACAAUUAACUUUUAACAAAUGUUUCAUAUACAAAAAGAUAGCUCUACAAAAUGCUUUAACAAUAAUUAAACUUUAACAAUAUAUACCGGUUAGCUUUCACAUCAAAAUUCUUGCAACUCUUUAAUAUCUACUAAUGAAUCUACUAGCAACCAACAAGAUUGGCACAAUGGGAGAACCUUUUCUGCCGUAAUCAUAGAUUUGGCAAGUCUUCAACCACCAUGUGAUCUAAACCAUAGAUUUGGCAAAACUAGGGAACUGAAGCUCUAAAUUGGACU
rnacentral:lncRNA from 1 species